GUUUAGGAUGUAAGACUAUUGUAAUUGUCUUAAAUUUCAAAGUUUGUUAGUAAUUUUUAAUAAAUGUUAUAGCCCAUUAUUUGAACAGCGGAUGUAGACACUACAGACGUAGUACUGCGGUUCGAGUAGCGCCCUUCUUCCUCCGAGAAAAGCGGGAACGGCUGUUAACAGACUGGAGAAUGGAGCUGCACUGUUAGCUCACCGCUAGCUAUCUGGAUUGGCUAGCAGUUAGCUAACUAAAGUUUUUUUCUGUGUACCGUUAGCCUGAAGAUGAACCUUGCUCACUAAUAUCAAAUCUCCUUGUAAGCCCUGCUGCCUUUGUGAGCUAGCUAAAAGUAAGAUAUCUGACUUUUGCUGGGACACCCUUGGAGACCUUAGCUAGCUAACUAAGCUACAUAUCUGGAACCCACUCCCUCAGAUGUCCGUUAUGGAAAAACUGGACGCAGUAUCAGCGGCUACCUUACAAGCUGCAAACAUCAGUGAAGCCUUGUUACCAACCCUGUCCCGUGAAGACAUACGUGAUCUUUUUCCUGGACCUGAACAUUUUCUUAGGAGAAAAGCCAUAUGGAACCUGUUUCACACAGAUCAAGAGCAGGGGCAGCAGGCAGCAUCCCCCAAUCAAGAGAAUGGUUCGAAUGGCAGAGGGCUGGCCACUGUACAAGUCAACCCUUGUGUUUCAGAAACUCCUCGGUCUCCUGAUGUGCAAGAGACUCCGAGAACCUGGCAGCUACCCAACCCUGAGUAUGUUGUGUAUACUGACAGUGAGCUGGAACAUAUUAGAAAGCAGUAUUUUGAAAUGCAGCUUGUUGGCCAAGAAGGUGGAUGCACUCUUUCAAAAGAACUUCGCUGCCGAUUAGUGAGGAACACGGUGACCAACAUGGUGUCCAUCAUCAGAGCAACUACUACUGAAUUUAUGUAUCCAUCCAAAAAUGAUUUCCAGGCUAUGGCAAAGCGGCUUGUGGAGUAUUAUCCAAUGCUUCGUGAUAACUCUGUGAACUGCAGACACCCUUGGGAAUUGCUUUUUAAGCAAUUACUGAAAAGACUCCACAACAUAAAGACACCAAAAAAGCGUCAGGGACCUACACCACAAAGACAGAGGAAACGAAGACGACUGAAUUUGGAGUGUUCAGAUGAUUCAAGCACAUCAGUCUCCGAGUCACCAGGAAGCACGGCAUCAACUGUACUCUUAGACAGAACAAGAAGCAGCGCAUCAUCUUUGGAUGGCAUGAAUUCACCUGCUGAAAUUGUUGACCAGAGAGGAGAAGCUACUGAAGAUCUAGGAGUCCAUUCUGGCACUGAAAGUCAGCAAAGUCAAGCAAGACAUUACCAUACCCUGCAAGAGAUGUAUAAAAGGCCGAAACCUAACAAGGAGGCAGUUGCUCAGCUGCUUGACCUUGAGUUUGAUGCUCGUAGAGCCUUUAUCAACUCUGACACCUUGAGAGACCAGGACAGGCCAGCUAACAUACUACAAGCAUACCCCUGUUUCAGAGAAGUAGAUCAUGUUAUGGACGAACUUCGCCGUAUUCUUGACAGAUCUAACCCUGACUUUAUUUCUGACCUGAAGACCCGCUGGGAGAGCUUUAAUAGCAAAGCUCAGUUCUAUGGGGUAUUUAAAAAGGUUCUGGGACCGCCAACAACACAGGACAAAGUGACACGCUCUGUAGCCAUGAUGAAGGCUCUGCCUGAGAUGUUCCCUUCACCUGUGGCCCUACCCAAGAAGUUGGGACAUGCAAGUGAGGCGAUGGUGCAUGUUCUUGAGCCCACAGAAAACCCAACCACCUACCUUCAGAGAAGACCAGUCUUCAGUCCAGUUCUGAUCGUUUGUGAUAACAACUGCAUGCUGGCCAUUGGGUCUACACCUGUGACAACUUUUCCAAAAGAAAACAUAGACACAGGUGUGCUCUAUCUUUUAGCGUACUACUACGCAUUUCAUCUGACUUAUCCAAAGUGCAUUGCAACACUCCUGUCAAUACUUCAGACAGAAGUUCUGCAGGAUGCCAUUCAUGAUCGGGAUGCAACUUCAUCCUACAAAAAAACUUUGUCAGAGUGGAAAAAGUUCAUUCGGGAGUAGAGAAAGUACCCUAUGGCCAUGCAGCAGUUGCUAUCAUUACGGGUAUUUGUUACACCCCUACUGAUAAUGUGAUUUGAUUUGUAUUACAUACAUCAUUAUUUGGUCAGUCAAACAAUUCAGAUGAAAAAAUGUAAUUGGGUUUAUCCAUAUUUUUGCUAUUAGUGGUGGUAUGUGGUGCAUGGCAGACUUUGGUUGAGGAAAAAUCAGUUCUGAUUGUUUAAGAUGUUUGAUGUGUAAAUAAUAGAGCUGGUUGUUUACUAUGUUUGUGUUUAAAUAACAAAGCUGCGUUAGGUAUCUUAGUUCAUAAAAAUGCUCUUUCUCAGAGAAGUUUAAUUGUUAAAAAUAAAACACCAUAACAAACUCAGGAACAUGGUGUUCUUUUGUUUAUCUAAGCCAAAAGAGACAUGUGUCUUUUGUUGUAAGUUUUAAAAUGAGGUUGAGUUACCACCACCAUACUGCACACUUGUUAAAUUCUAUGUAGCCUCAUUGGAACUAUUUUUGUAAGUACAUAUUUCAUGUCUCUGGAAUUAAUAAAAAAAGAUUGACC
ensembl:lncRNA